AUGAAUCGUGCGCACCUGCAAUCCCUAACCCUUGCAAAAUCCCCAAUCACACACUUCUGCCGACGGCGGCUUUGCGGCGACUAUGGCCUGGUGCCUGAACAGGGCCGCGAAGCCCUUGAGAGAAGAGGAUGGAGGAGGUGGGCGGCGUCGGCGUCGGCUAGCGCAAUGUGGAGGAGGUGCGGGACCUCUGCAGUCAGACCUCCCAAGCAGAGAUGGCCGGCGCCGGCGAGCCAUGGUACAAAAUCUCGUCGGAGGAUGAAGAGCUCCCGGAUUUUGAUUUUGGGUGAGUGCAAUAUGAGGUCUGUUGCUGGAUAA
rnacentral:rRNA from 1 species